CUUUACGGCCAUACCAGCCUGGCUAUGCCCGAUCUCGUCUGAUCUUGGAAGUUAAGCAGGUUUGGGCUGGUUAGUACUUGUGGGAGACUGCCUGGAAUACCAGGUACUGUAAGCU
rnacentral:rRNA from 1 species